UACGGAGGGUGCAAGCGUUAUCCGGAUUCACUGGGUUUAAAGGGUGCGUAGGCGGGCAGUUAAGUCAGUGGUGAAAUCCCCGAGCUCAACUCGGGAACUGCCAUUGAUACUAUCUGUCUUGAAUAUUGUGGAGGUAAGCGGAAUAUGUCAUGUAGCGGUGAAAUGCUUAGAUAUGACAUAGAACACCUAUUGCGAAGGCAGCUUACUACGCAUAUAUUGACGCUGAGGCACGAAAGCGUGGGGAGCGAACAGG
rnacentral:rRNA from 1 species